GGGCUGGUAGCUCAGUCGGUAGAGCAGCGGACUUUUAAUCCGUUGGUCGCGGGUUCGAAUCCCGCCCAGCCCACCA
rnacentral:tRNA from 2 species